UACGUAGGGUGCAAGCGUUAAUCGGAAUUACUGGGCGUAAAGCGUGCGUAGACGGUCAAGUAAGUCGGGUGUGAAAGCCCCGGGCUCAACCUGGGAAUUGCAUUCGAGACUGCGUGGCUAGGGUGCGGAAGAGGGAAGCGGAAUUUCCGGUGUAGCGGUGAAAUGCGUAGAUAUCGGAAGGAACACCAGUGGCGAAAGCGGCUUCCUGGUCCAGCACCGACGUUCAGGCACGAAAGCGUGGGG
rnacentral:rRNA from 1 species